rnacentral:rRNA from 1 species
UAGGGAAUCUUCCGCAAUGGGCGAAAGCCUGACGGAGCAACGCCGCGUGAUUUAGAAGGCCUUCGGGUUGUAAAAAUCUUUUGUAUAGGAAGAAAAUGACAGUACUAUACGAAUAAGGACCGGCUAAUUACGUGCCAGCAGCCGCGGUAAUACGUAAGGUCCGAGCGUUGUCCGGAAUCAUUGGGCGUAAAGGGUACGUAGGCGGGUAAGCAAGUUAGAAGUGAAAUCCUAUAGCUCAACUAUAGUAAGCUUUUAAAACUGCUCAUCUUGAGGUAUGGAAGGGAAAGUGGAAUUCCUAGUGUAGCGGUGAAAUGCGCAGAUAUUAGGAGGAAUACCGGUGGCGAAGGCGACUUUCUGGCCAUAACCUGACGCUGAGGUACGAAAGCGUGGGUAGCAAACAGG